AUUGAACGCUGGCGGCAUGCUUUACACAUGCAAGUCGAACGGCAGCAUAGGUGCUUGCACCUGAUGGCGAGUGGCGAACGGGUGAGUAAUAUAUCGGAACAUGUCCGGAAGUGGGGGAUAACGUAGCGAAAGUUACGCUAAUACCGCAUAUGCCCUGAGGGGGAAAGGGGGGGAUCGUAAGACCUCUCGCCUUCGGAGUGGCCGAGAUCGGAUUAGCUAGUAGGUGAGGUAAAGGCUCACCUAGGCGACGAUCCGUAGCUGGUCUGAGAGGACGACCAGCCACACUGGGACUGAGACACGGCCCAGACUCCUACGGGAGGCAGCAGUGGGGAAUUUUGGACAAUGGGCGCAAGCCUGAUCCAGCCAUGCCGCGUGAGUGAAGAAGGCCUUCGGGUUGUAAAGCUCUUUCAGCUGGAAAGAAAUCGUAUCUAUUAAUACUAGGUGCGGAUGACGGUACCAGCAGAAGAAGCACCGGCUAACUACGUGCCAGCCGCCGCAGUAACAC
rnacentral:rRNA from 1 species